GAUGAACGCUGGCGGCGUGCUUAACACAUGCAAGUCGAGCGAAGCACUUUAAAGGAAGUUUUCGGAUGGAAUUUAAAGUGACUGAGCGGCGGACGGGUGAGUAACGCGUGGGUAACCUGCCUCAUACAGGGGGAUAACAGUUGGAAACGACUGCUAAUACCGCAUAAGCGCACAGUGCUGCAUAGCACAGUGUGAAAAACUCCGGUGGUAUGAGAUGGACCCGCGUCUGAUUAGGUAGUUGGUGGGGUAACGGCCCACCAAGCCGACGAUCAGUAGCCGACCUGAGAGGGUGACCGGCCACAUUGGGACUGAGACACGGCCCAAACUCCUACGGGAGGCAGCAGUGGGGAAUAUUGGACAAUGGGGGAAACCCUGAUCCAGCGACGCCGCGUGAGUGAAGAAGUGUUUCGGCAUGUAAAGCUCUAUCAGCAGGGAAGAAAAUGACGGUACCUGACUAAGAAGCCCCGGCUAACUACGUG
rnacentral:rRNA from 1 species